AACUUACACAGUGGUGUUUAAACCCCAUUAACAUUCUGUCAGAAUUUAUUUUUAAGAGUCUGUCCUGAGGCCCAUAAAGAAAUAAUGCCACUUCAUAACUGUUUUCUGACAGUCACAUUAAAAAGUACGUUCCUGAAAUGCAUUAUAUGUGAAUGCAUAUAAACAUUUAUCUUUGUACAUUUAUGGUAAUGUAAAUAUUUAAGUCGGAGAGCUUAAAAACUUUUAUUUGCUUAUUUGCAUACAUGCCUUUUAACAGCCAGCAGUGCCAACCAUAUUUGCCAAAGAAGUAUCAGCCAUAAAUUCAGGCUUUGGCACAUUUCAUAUAAUAACUCUUCUAAAUUGCUCCAUGGUGAAGCAUCAUGAGAUUAGCAUUUGCUUCAGGAGAGAGAUUUGUUGUUGUUUUUAACCGUAAUGAUGUGCUAUUUAAGGGGAACAGGUGCUGGGCUCUAGCUGUUUGUGUUGUAACCUGCCAAAUCCUACUCUUUUGUUGGAUGGGUUGUUAAAGCAAUUUAGGAACCACAUUGUGGCCCCUGGCUUGCCAAGUGUGAGUUUGAGGCUCCAUAUCACUUUUGCUAAUCCCCAUUUUUUUUUUUUCUUUCAGUGUAAGAGGCAAGUGUGGAUGUGAACUUUAUUUUCUCAUUUGUCUUUUACUGUGAUUCCUAUGCCCCAGUCUAGAACUUCUGAUACAGGCUGCCUCCCUGCUAGCUGGGUUUUCCUUGGAGAAUUCAAAUAUUGUUGUAACUUUCAGGCCAAGUUCACAUUUGUCUGACAAAAGACAAGUAUUUGAGUGUCUUCUAAAGUGUUAGGCCUGGUGCUAGGACCUGAAUAUGUGUAGAAUGAUGCAGUUUUUGUCAGCAGCUUAUACCUUAGGAGGAGAGCUAGCUGGUAACCGGUGGUUAUAAUACGGUGUGAUAUAGGACAGGUGUGUGCGCAGGUGCCUGUGAAGGAGAGCACAGGAAGGCUCGUUGACUCAGACUUGGAUUCUUGACUGUGGGGGAAGUUCUGGAAUCUUAGUGAGUUAUUCAUUAAUCUUGAAUAAUAUAUGAAUCAACUAAGUUCAGAAAGAGGAAACAUAUAUUUAUCCUCAUGCAAUUGUAUUCUUUAAAAAAGGAAACAUAAGCCAUGUAUGUUAAUUUGAAAUUUCUAGUAGUUUUAACAAAUAAAAAUUCAGAUCAAUAUAAAGCGGUAUACUAAGAUAUUUAAUAUUCUCCUUUUCAUACAGGGUCUUAAGAAUUUGGUGUUGCUUUUUACAUCUUAGCACAUUCCAAUUAAGACUAACUACAGUCAUAUACUCCCUUCUACACAUCAACAGCACAGCUUUAGAGCAGAGGCAAAUGAAGUAAAAACCACUGAUUAUAAAAUUCCCAUCUUAGGAAUUUUAGCUUCCAACUUGAAGGCUGUGAAGUUUUAGUUGAAAAGCAAAAACAGGGCUGGAGAGAUGACUUUUCAAGAGGACCUGGGUUCAAUUCUGGGCACCUACAUGGUGGCUCACAAACAUCUGUGGCUCUAGUUCCAGGGGAUCUGACACCCUCUUCUGGUGCCAGAAGGCAUCACAGGCAAAACACCUAAAUACCCAUAAAAUAAAUACCACCACCAAAACACUCCCCAUCUGUCACCCCCAAGCCACACUGCAAGUUUAAUCAGAGCUGGCUUAGACCUGUCAUUUUGACAGAGAAAUGAAAGCUGGAUUAAAAAGGGGUACAACUAGAAGCAAGAACAGUGAAAAAGCCAACCCUGGUGUAGAAGUGACAAGGAGUGUAGUGGAUGGAUGUAGGAGAGAUUUAUGAAGUAUUAUCAGUAAUUUGGACAAAUAGGUUAGGGGCUAGAAAAGAUAGGGUCUGGUGAGAUGGCUUAGUGCGUAAAGGUACUUGCUGUCAAUCCUGGCAUCACAUUUUCAUCCAUGGGAUGCUCAUGGUGGGACAGAACCCACUCCUCCAAAUUAUCAUCUAGCCUCCAAAUGCAUACCAUAAUACAUGCUUCCCUCCACAAUGAAUGGAUGGAUGAGUGGAGGAAGACUGGAGAUUAAGGAUAGGGCC
rnacentral:lncRNA from 1 species